UAUCGGGUCUUGUGCAAUGGCGCACUGUGAAUCCCGCCAGGUCUUGACGGAAGCAACGGUAAGCAGACCGCGUUAUGUGCCGCAAGGGUGCCUGAUGCCU
rnacentral:SRP_RNA from 1 species